rnacentral:rRNA from 1 species
AAAUGAAUUGACGGGGGCCCGCACAAGCAGUGGAGCAUGUGGUUUAAUUCGAUGCAACGCGAAGAACCUUACCUGGGCUUGAACUGCAGGCGUAGCCGCUUGAAAGAGCGGUGAACUCCUUCGGGAAAACCUGUAGAGGUGCUGCAUGGCUGUCGUCAGCUCGUGUCGUGAGAUGUUGGGUUAAGUCCCGCAACGAGCGCAACCCUUGCCAUUAGUUGUCAGCGAGUCAUGUCGGAUACUCUAAUGGGACUGCCGGUGACGAGCCGGAGGAAGGUGGGGAUGACGUCAAGUCAGCAUGGCCUUUAUGUCCAGGGCCACACACGUGCUACAAUGGACGGUACAGAGGGAUGCAAGGCCGCAAGGUAGAGCAAAUCCCUAAAACCGUUCUCAGUUCGGAUUGCAGGCUGCAAUUCGCCUGCAUGAAGCUGGAAUUGCUAGUAAUCGCGGAUCAGCUACGCCGCGGUGAAUACGUUCUCGGGCCUUGUACACACCGCCCGU